AGCAUCCUCGAUUAAAGAGAGAAAGCAAAAGCUCAAAGACUUCAGCCGCAGGCUCAAUGGAGAAAUGGGCAAUGGCGUCCGUUGCUGCUGCGGCCCUCGACCUGGCCGCCUCGUCCUGCAGCGUUGCAGCCGAGUUCAAGAAGGCCAAGAUGAAUGACAUGAAAUUGGACGGGAAGUUCUGCUCUCUACCUAGAACUCCUGCAUUUGUACUGGGGCUCGCGGCGUUGAUCUGCAUCUCGGUUUCUCAGAUGCUCAGAGCCUUUGUCUGGAUGCUUGGUGGGUUCUCAAUCAACAAAUGUCAAACCAUUAUGAUUGUUUUCUCUUGGUAGGAUAUGUUUUAUCUUGGCAAUGAUAUUGCUGGCGACCGGAUCGAGCAUGAACAAUUGGCAGCGGUAUGGGCAGGGGUGGAUGGAUGGAAACUGCUACGUCAUUCGCACGGGCGAGUACCUGGGCGCUGCUGCGCUGAUCGUUGUGAAUCUCGUGAUGAAUUUAAGCUCGAUGUGCAGUUCGACGAGGCAAUCAAUCCAAACUCAGUGCUGCUCAGGAGAAGACGACGAAAAAGUUGAUGAGCAGAAGCAGGGAGAAGUCUGAGACUAUGAUGGAUUGUUUUGUAUUUUGAAAUUUAAUUGUGUACAGCCACAGAACAGAAGCUGUUUGUGUGUCGAGUAUUACAUAAACGAAUCUAAAUUAAAUAUGAGAAUUCUCUUUGUCAA